GUGGGUUACGGCGACAUGGCGCCCGUCACCGUGGGCGGGAAGCUGGUGGGGUCUCUGUGCGCCAUCGCGGGGGUGCUCACCA
rfam:Balearica pavonina gibbericeps contig36513, whole genome shotgun sequence.